ensembl:lncRNA
CACGGACGUUUUAAAGACUGAACAGGGGCUGGCCUACCUGGACAAGAAAAGGCGUGGCCUGAUGACUGACAAUGGAGAGACAAAGAGAGAGUCGUGGGUGGGGAGUAGGCAGAGGGUGUCUCCGAGCAGCAGAGAGGGGGGGGAUGAUCGGAGAGAUGACCCCCAAUACAGAAAGAGACCCCAUGACCACGACACACCCACCUCGACCCGCAAGGAGACGAGGUCACACCAUAGAGGGGGGUCAGAGGAAGAAGAGGAGAUGAAAGAAGUCAUAAUAGGAGAGGAGAACGAGGGUAGUGUGUCAGGGAGGCGCAGGUCUGGGGUACCUCUGGAGGAGGUGACCUUUACUGAGGGGGACAGGCACCAGAAAAAGCGUUACCCACAAUCCACCAGGACCAGGAAGUUCAAUUCAGGUUCAAGUGAAUCCACACGCGCUGAGAGGGAGAGAUGUAGGAGGGAGUCUGGGCUCUACUGUAACGGACAGGUGAAGGAUGGAUGGAUGAAGGAUGGCGCGGUGGAGAGCUUGACCACAGACACCUCCAGGCGCUCCAGGGAGAGCGUGCUGCGCCUGUCCGGGGAGUCCAGAGGCGUGGGAGGACUGCUUCCAAAACGGCUCUGUCUGGAGGGGACAGGGGGCAGAGACACCAAUGUAGCAUCCAUAGAGGUAGAGGUGGAUCCCUCCGACUUUGACGGGACCUUGAUGGUUGUCACUGUGGGAGAAGACGAGGAAGUUGUUAGCCCCUCUAACCCCAGCUGUGGAAAGGAGAGGAGAGGAACCCUGAGGCUCUGCCUGUCCUCCAGUCAGGAUAGGUCGCCCAAACCCAGCCCUGCUGAACCCAUUGUUCUCUCCAGUGAUGAGGAGGAGGUAGUCACCCCAUCCCGCAGUUCAGUCCUUUGGCCACAGACUGGCGCUAGUGAUUCUAAGCCCCAGAGAAAUCAUUCUCAGGAACAAAUGGUGGCAGAGAUGCACUCUCAGUUGGUGCCUGUGGUGGUGACCGGAUUUGGGGUGGCCCCCUUCCCCAGCACUGAGGACUCUGAG